ACAAACACAAUGAAUCUCUUCAGCAGCUUCAUCUGGAUUCUGGCAGCUUUUAUUCCAGCAUCCAGAGGAAUCACUGUGACUCAGCCUGAAGCUGUGACUGUUUCUGAAGGACAAGACGCUGCUAUAGAGUGUAAAACUGAUGCUGGAAUAUAUAGCUGGGGUUUAGCUUGGUAUCAGCAGAAACCUGGAGAAGCUCCUAAACUCAUCAUUUAUAGUGUAAACGAUCGCUAUGGUAACAGUUUCAAUCGAUUCAGUGGGAAUGGAGCAGAAGCUGGGACUGAUUUCACUCUGACCAUCAGUGGAGUCCAGACUGAAGAUGCUGGACAUUAUUACUGUCAGAGUUACCACUACAUCAACAGUAACUUGUUGUUCACACAGUGA